rnacentral:tRNA from 1 species
GAGAAAAUUCGCAAGGAUUGCUAACCCA